rnacentral:rRNA from 1 species
CCUACGGGUGGCUGCAGUGGGGAAUUUUGCGCAAUGGGCGAAAGCCUGACGCAGCAACGCCGCGUGGGUGAUGAAGGUCUUCGGAUCGUAAAACCCUGUCGUCAGGGACGAAGGUUGCGUGUCGAAUAGAUGCGUAACUUGACGGUACCUGGAGAGGAAGCCCCGGCUAACUCUGUGCCAGCAGCCGCGGUAAUACAGAGGGGGCAAGCGUUAUUCGGAAUUAUUGGGCGUAAAGGGCGCGUAGGCGGUGGUAAUCCCCGAGCUUAACUUGGGAACUGCAUCUCAGACUGGGGCGCUAGAGUACUGGAGAGGGUGGUAGAAUUCCACGUGUAGCGGUGAAAUGCGUAGAGAUGUGGAGGAAUACCGGUGGCGAAGGCGGCCACCUGGACAGUAACUGACGCUGAGGCGCGAAAGUGUGGGUAGCAAACAGGAUUAGAUACCCCGGUAGUC